UUGUUCGGAAUUACUGGGCGUAAAGGGCUCGUAGGUGGCCAACUAAGUCAGACGUGAAAUCCCUCGGCUUAACCGGGGAACUGCGUCUGAUACUGGAUGGCUUGAGUUCGGGAGAGGGAUGCGGAAUUCCAGGUGUAGCGGUGAAAUGCGUAGAUAUCUGGAGGAACACCGGUGGCGAAGGCGGCAUCCUGGACCGACACUGACACUGAGGAGCGAAAGCCAGGGGAGCAAACGGG
rnacentral:rRNA from 1 species